rnacentral:rRNA from 1 species
UACGUAGGGGGCAAGCGUUGUCCGGAUUUAUUGGGCGUAAAGAGCGUGUAGGCGGCUUUGCAAGUCCGUUGUGAAAACUCGAGGCUCAACCUCGAGACGCCGGUGGAAACUGCAAAGCUAGAGUCCGGAAGAGGAGAGUGGAAUUCCUGGUGUAGCGGUGAAAUGCGCAGAUAUCAGGAAGAACACCAAUGGCGAAGGCAGCUCGCUGGGACGGUACUGACGCUGAGACGAGAAAGCGUGGGGAGCAAACAGG